rnacentral:rRNA from 1 species
AGAGUUUGAUUAUGGCUCAGGAUGAACGCUAGCGAUAGGCCUAACACAUGCAAGUCGAGGGGCAGCACGUGAAGUAGCAACACGGAUGGUGGCGACCGGCGCACGGGUGGGUAACGCGUAUGCAACCUGCCUACAACAGGGGAAUAACCCGUUGAAAGACGGACUAAUACCCCAUAACACAGGGGUCCCGCAUGGGAAUAUUUGUUAAAGAUUUAUCGGUUGUAGAUGGGCAUGCGUUCCAUUAGCUGGUUGGUGAGGUAACGGCUCACCAAGGCAACGAUGGAUAGGGGAACUGAGAGGUUUAUCCCCCACACUGGUACUGAGGCACGGACCAGACUCCUACGGGAGGCAGCAGUGAGGAAUAUUGGUCAAUGGACGCAAGUCUGAACCAGCCACGUCGCGUGAAGGAAGACGGCCCUACGGGUUGUAAACUUCUUUUGUAAGGGAAUAAAGUGCAGUACGUGUACUGUUUUGCAUGUACCUUACGAAUAAGGAUCGGCUAACUCCGUGUCAGCAGCCGCGGUAAUACGGAGGAUCCGAGCGUUAUCCGGAUUUAUUGGGUUUAAAGGGUGCGCAGGCGGGAGAUUAAGUCGGCGGUGAAAUUUUGCAGCUCAACUGUAAAAGUGCCUUCGAAACUGGUUUUCUUGAGUGUGGAUGAAGUAGGCGGAAUUUGUGGUGUAGCGGUGAAAUGCAUAGAUAUCACGAGGAACUCCGAUUGCGCAGGCAGCUUACUAAACCAUAACUGACGCUCACGCACGAAUGUGUGGGGAUCAAACAGGAUUAGAUACCCUGGUAGUC